rnacentral:rRNA from 1 species
UACGAAGGGAGCUAGCGUUGUUCGGAAUUAUUGGGCGUAAAGAGCGCGCAGGCGGUCUGACAAGUCAGAUGUGAAAUCCUUGGUCUCAAGCCAAGAACUGCAUUUGAAACUGUUAGACUAGAGUAUGGUAGAGGAUGAUGGAAUUCUGAGUGUAGAGGUGAAAUUCGUAGAUAUUCAGAGGAACACCGGUGGCGAAGGCGGUCAUCUGGGCCAUUACUGACGCUGAGGCGCUAAAGCGUGGGUAGCAAACAGG